rnacentral:rRNA from 1 species
AUGCAAGUCGAGCGGCAGCACGGGUACUUGUACCUGGUGGCGAGCGGCGGACGGGUGAGUAAUGCCUAGGAAUCUGCCUAGUAGUGGGGGAUAACGUCCGGAAACGGGCGCUAAUACCGCAUACGUCCUACGGGAGAAAGUGGGGGAUCUUCGGACCUCACGCUAUUAGAUGAGCCUAGGUCGGAUUAGCUAGUUGGUGAGGUAAUGGCUCACCAAGGCGACGAUCCGUAACUGGUCUGAGAGGAUGAUCAGUCACACUGGAACUGAGACACGGUCCAGACUCCUACGGGAGGCAGCAGUGGGGAAUAUUGGACAAUGGGCGAAAGCCUGAUCCAGCCAUGCCGCGUGUGUGAAGAAGGUCUUCGGAUUGUAAAGCACUUUAAGUUGGGAGGAAGGGCAGUUACCUAAUACGUGAUUGUUUUGACGUUACCGACAGAAUAAGCACCGGCUAACUCUGUGCCAGCAGCCGCGGUAAUACAGAGGGUGCAAGCGUUAAUCGGAAUUACUGGGCGUAAAGCGCGCGUAGGUGGUUUGUUAAGUUGGAUGUGAAAGCCCCGGGCUCAACCUGGGAACUGCAUCCAAAACUGGCAAGCUAGAGUAUGGUAGAGGGUGGUGGAAUUUCCUGUGUAGCGGUGAAAUGCGUAGAUAUAGGAAGGAACACCAGUGGCGAAGGCGACCACCU